UUAGUGUCAGACUGGUUGAAAUCAGUUCAGGCACUGAUGAUUCUGGGGAUUCUGUUCCUGGCUCUGAGUACAUUCCUCGGAUGUCUUUAUUGCAAAGACGACUCCAAACAAAGCCUGUUACAUGGUGCUAUGUUCACAGCCGUACUUGGAGGUAUUGCGCUGAUCGUAGCUGUAAUUGUGUUUGGAGUGAAAGAAAAAGAAAUCAGCUCAAAAUUCCACGCUUGUUUUUACCUAGCCCUGGUGUCCGGAGCAGAUGCGAUCGUAGCAGCAGAACUAAUAGCAAUUUCGAAACGCCGUGGAGGAUAUAGCUCUAUAUAACAUUUGCAGUUGAAUAAAAAACUUGAAUAGUACUGUUCUGUUUGUAAUCUUGAAAUCUUGAACGGUUUACUUUCGUUCAGGUAGUUUGCACGUUAGGAUAUUUUUCUACUAUGUAGAAUUUGGACCUCACACAAGCUUUAAAAUCAAAAGUUUUCAUAACGGAAGUCUAAGGGAAAAAUCACAAUUUUGAUCACAUUUUCUCAAACAGAUCGUUUUACCAUGAACGUAUUGUCUGUAAUAUGGUAAAAUAAAAUGAAUAGGUCUAUACGUUUGUAUCUGAGAUAUUUGCUGCUGUUAAAGAGAUCCGGACAUUUCAAGCUUAAUUUAAGAUAUUUUUCGGAAGUAUUUAUGUGUAAAAAGUUUUGAUAUAAUAUCCAUAAAAAGAUCAUGUCCGUUUUAGUGAAUUUACUGAAUUGUUGCUAUGCGUUCAUUGAUUUUUUUUCAUUUCCGUAUGCCAAGUCCAGGUUUUAUUCUACGCUAUCUUUUCUUCCAGUUUAUCAAUCGUGCAAAACUAUCUUAAACAUAACUUGAUCAUUACUAGUAUUAUGAUUUUUUUCUGUAUCUGUAAACAACACACUUGCUUUUAAAAUAAGUAAGAAUAUUGAAACCAUCCAUUUAACAUUUGCACAAUCUUUGAUCAAUGUUGUAGUGACAACAAUAAAAGCUUGCUACAUUGUCAAAAUAUGACAUGGUAUACACAACAGAAGGUGUUCUACAACCGUCACUAUAUCACAACUCAGUGAGGAGGAAAUAGCAGUUAUGGAAUAGGAUAGAAACGACCAAAAAUCAGAUAAAAUUGAACAGUUGUUCAAUGGAACGUCACACAAUAAUAUAUGGGUCAGCCCUGCAUUCUAAUUGAAAUGUAAAGACGUUAACAUUUCACAGAGUCUGUAUAUAAUAUAAUGUGUGUGUAUUUACGGAAAGAUGCGUGCGUACUAGUUAAUAUUUUCAUGAACAUUGCUUAACUGAUCACUGUUAAAUAUUUUUGUUUGGUUUGCAGUUACACAAACACCAGUUAGGUCAUAUUACGACUUUUACAGCUUUUGAUGGCGGAGGAAGACCCCAGGAUCAAUGAACCACGGAGGUCCAAAAGUCUAUUAAAAACAAAAACAAAACUUAAAGCCGUCUUGAUACAUACUAUAUGUGCGACAGCGUUUGCUUUAAGUUUACGUUCCUGAAAAAUAGAGUAAGGUAUUAACUGUUAGAUGCAUUCAGAAUAAUUUAUAGGUAAUGAAUUAUAAUUGACAUUGAAGAUAAUUCCACUUUACAUUGAUUUGAUGUAUUUAAUAACUAAGGUGUAUUUACACAUUUCUUGUGCUUUAAGCUGGCAAUAUUGUUAUUUUAGCAGAUGAUAAAAGGUGCAUUUAAAAAUGUUUAUAA